GACGAACGCUGGCGGCGUGCCUAAUACAUGCAAGUUGAGCGAUGAAGAUUGGUGCUUGCACCAAUUUGAAGAGCAGCGAACGGGUGAGUAACGCGUGGGGAAUCUGCCUCUGAGCGGGGGACAACAUUUGGAAACGAAUGCUAAUACCGCAUAACAACUUUAAACAUAAGUUUUAAGUUUGAAAGAUGCAAUUGCAUCACUCAAAGAUGAUCCCGCGUUGUAUUAGCUAGUUGGUGAGGUAAAGGCUCACCAAGGCGAUGAUACAUAGCCGACCUGAGAGGGUGAUCGGCCACAUUGGGACUGAGACACGGCCCAAACUCCUACGGGAGGCAGCAGUAGGGAAUCUUCGGCAAUGGACGAAAGUCUGACCGAGCAACGCCGCGUGAGUGAAGAAGGUUUUCGGAUCGUAAAACUCUGUUGGUAGAGAAGAACGUUGGUGAGAGUGGAAAGCUCAUCAAGUGACGGUAACUACCCAGAAAGGGACGGCUAACUACGUG
rnacentral:rRNA from 1 species